GGUGAACGUUGGCGGCGCGUCUAAUACAUGCAAGUCGAGCGAGGCUUCGAGCCGAGCGGCGGACGGCUGAGUAACACGUUGGUAGCUACCCCGUACUCAGGGAUAACACUGAGAAAUCAGUGCUAAUACCGGAUGGUCCCGAAAGGGUAAAGAUUUAUCGGUACGGGAGGUGCCUGCGGCCUAUCAGCUAGUUGGUGAGGUAAUGGCUCACCAAGGCUAUGACGGGUAACUGGUCUGAGAGGACGACCAGUCAGAGGGAAACUGAGACACGGUUCCCACUCCUACGGGAGGCAGCAGUAAAGAAUCUUCCGCAAUGGACGCAAGUCUGACGGAGCGACGCCGCGUGCAGGAUGAAGGCCUUCGGGUCGUAAACUGCUUUCUGAGGGAAUAAUUCUGAAUGUACCUCAGGAAUAAGCACCGGCAAAUCACGUG
rnacentral:rRNA from 1 species